GAGAAGUAUCAAAAGAGGCCUGAGUCAUCUCUUGCAACUGGUUUGUUAUCUGUGACCCUUGCUACACUGAUGUGCUAUCCUUUGGACACUGUGAGAAGGCAGAUGCAAAUGAGGGGUUCACCAUACAGGACUGUUCUGGAUGCUUUUCCAAGUGCUUGCUUUUGAAGCAGGAAGGCGCCACAAGAUUCGAGUUAAUACGAUAUCUGCUGGCCCGUUGAGAAGCCGUGCAGCAAAAGCAAUUGGAUUCAUUGACACCAUGAUUGAAUACUAAUUAGCCAAUGCACCAAUGCAGAAAGACCUGCUGGCAGGUGAAUACCUAAAAUUCUGUUGUUGGUUUAUAGUUCGAACAUAUUGGCCAUUACAUAACAAAAUUCGAGCUGCUGAUUACAAUAAGUGCUGUUUG